AUUGAACGCUGGCGGCAUGCCUUACACAUGCAAGUCGAACGGCAGCACGGGGGCAACCCUGGUGGCGAGUGGCGAACGGGUGAGUAACAUAUCGGAACAUACCCUAGAGUGGGGGAUAACGUAGCGAAAGUUACGCUAAUACCGCAUACGAUCUAAGGAUGAAAGUGGGGGAUCUUCGGACCUCAUGCUCAUGGAGUGGCCGAUAUCUGAUUAGCUAGUUGGUGAGGUAAAGGCUCACCAAGGCGACGAUCAGUAGCUGGUUUGAGAGAACGACCAGCCACACUGGAACUGAGACACGGUCCAGACUCCUACGGGAGGCAGCAGUGGGGAAUUUUGGACAAAUGGGGGGCAACCCUGAUCCAGCAAUGCCGCGUGAGUGAAGAAGGCCUUCGGUUGUAAGCUCUUUGUCUAGGGAAGGAAAC
rnacentral:rRNA from 1 species